UCAGCACCCGGUGGGGACAUCACGUGCCAA
rnacentral:piRNA from 1 species